CCGCACAUCAGCCAUCCCGAGUAAGUGACAAUAAGCUGAAAAGGGUGUAUCUCUCUGUGAUCACCAUAACUAGAAAACCUGACGUCAUCCACCUCUAAGCGAUCAAGCAGUAAGCGGUAAUGGUGCACAUCAGUAUGCCCUUUACUAGUAAGCCAUCUCCCAGCACAUGAUCUCUCCGGCGUCCACUCCUUGUUUUUCUUCCUUGGGUACGGACCUGACAAAUGCUCCAAAAUCCAUCCC
rnacentral:lncRNA from 1 species